UACGAAGGGGGCGAGCGUUGUUCGGAAUUACUGGGCGUAAAGGGCGCGUAGGCGGUCCGUUGCGUCAGGCGUGAAAGCCCCGGGCUCAACCUGGGAACGGCGCUUGAUACGGGCGGGCUCGAGUUCGGGAGAGGUGAGCGGAAUUCCCAGUGUAGAGGUGAAAUUCGUAGAUAUUGGGAAGAACACCGGUGGCGAAGGCGGCUCACUGGCCCGAGACUGACGCUGAGGCGCGACAGCGUGGGGAGCAAACAGG
rnacentral:misc_RNA from 1 species